UCCAUCCUCUGUGACAUCUACACGCCAAGCUCCAUGUUGGACUUUGUGGCUACAAAGAGGGAAAUGACACCAGCCCUGCCCUCGGAGCUCCUGAUCUGGGAAGAGUCUACUUCAAACAACCCCCAGCCCAUCAACUGCAGAGCCACAAUUUGUGUAUGAAGCCCACUAAGGGGAGGCCCCCCUACUUCUGUCUCCCGAUGUCCCCAGUAAAGAAACACUCAUUCAAUCCACUUUUUGUUAAUACAAGUCCCUUCCCCUGGGAAGGAAAUACA